rnacentral:rRNA from 1 species
GAUGAACGCUAGCUACAGGCUUAACACAUGCAAGUCGAGGGACCGGCGCACGGGUGAGUAACACGUAUCCAACCUGCCCUUUACUCGGGGAUAGCCUUUCGAAAGAAAGAUUAAUACCCGAUAUAAAGGAUGGGGAUGCGUUCCUUUAGGUUGUUGGUGAUGUAACGGCUCACCAAGCCUUCGUUGGAUAGGGGUUCUGAGAGGCAGGUCCCCCACAUUGGAACUGCGACCCGGUCCACACUCCUACGGGAGGCAGCAGUGAUGAAUAUUGGUCAAUGGGCGCUAACCUGAACCAGCCAAGUAGCGUAAAGGAUGAAGGCUUAUGGGUCGUAAACUUCUUUUAAAUAAGAAUAUGUAUUCGAUGAAUAAGGAUCGGCUAACUCCGUGCCAGCAGCCGCGGUAAUUC